GAUGAACACUAGCUACAGGCUUAACACAUGCAAGUCGCGGGGCAGCAUGGGGGUUGCUUGCACUCCCCGAUGGCGACCGGCGCACGGGUGAGUAACGCGUAUUCAACCUGCCCUUCACCACGGGAUAACCCGGCGAAAGUCGGACUAAUACCGUAUGUUGUCCAUUGACGGCAUCCGAUUUGGACGAAAGGCUUGGCGGUGAGGGAUGGGGAUGCGUCCGAUUAGCCAGACGGCGGGGUAACGGCCCACCGUGGCUACGAUCGGUAGGGGUUCUGAGAGGAAGGUCCCCCACACUGGAACUGAGACACGGUCCAGACUCCUACGGGAGGCAGCAGUGAGGAAUAUGGGUCAAUGGGCGUAAGCCUGAACCAGCCAAGUAGCGUGCAGGAUGACGGCCCUAUGGGUUGUAAACUGCUUUUAUGCGGGGAUAAAGUGGCCCACGUGUGGGCUUUUGCAGGUACCGCAUGAAUAAGGACCGGCUAAUUCCGU
rnacentral:rRNA from 1 species